rnacentral:rRNA from 1 species
AACGAACGCUGGCGGCAUGCCUAACACAUGCAAGUCGAACGAGACCUUCGGGUCGAGUGGCGCACGGGUGCGUAACGCGUGGGAACCUGCCCUUAGGUUCGGCAUAACUCCCCGAAAGGGGUGCUAAUACCGGAUAAUGUCAUCGGACCAAAGAUUUAUCGCCUUUGGAUGGGCCCGCGUUGGAUUAGCUAGUUGGUAGGGUAAAAGCCUACCAAGGCGACGAUCCAUAGCUGGUCUGAGAGGAUGAUCAGCCACACUGGGACUGAGACACGGCCCAGACUCCUACGGGAGGCAGCAGUGGGGAAUAUUGGACAAUGGGCGAAAGCCUGAUCAAGCAAUGCCGCGUGAGUGAUGAAGGCCUUAGGGUUGUAAAGCUCUUUUACCCGGGAUGAUAAUGACAGUACCGGGAGAAUAAGCGCCGGCUAACUCCGUG